rnacentral:tRNA from 1 species
GCCGGAGUGGUGGAACUGGCAGACACGCGGCGCUUAGGUCGCCGUGCCCUGUGGCGUGCGGGUUCGAGUCCCGCCUCCGGCA